rnacentral:rRNA from 1 species
AUUGAACGCUGGCGGCAGGCCUAACACAUGCAAGUCGAACGAGUGGCGGACGGGUGAGUAAUGUCUGGGCAACUGCCUGACGGAGGGGGAUAACUACUGGAAACGGUAGCUAAUACCGCAUACCAUCAGAUGUGCCCAGAUGGGAUUAGCUUGUUGGUGGGGUAACGGCUCACCAAGGCGACGAUCCCUAGCUGGUCUGAGAGGGUGACCAGCCACACUGGGACUGAGACACGGCCCAGACUCCUACGGGAGGCAGCAGUAGGGAAUAUUUGGCAAUGGGCGCAAGCCUGAUGCAGCAAUGCCGCGUGUGUGAAGAAGGCCUUCGGGUUGUAAAAUACUUUCGGCGGGGAGGCGUUACCCGCAGAGAAAGCAACGGCUAACUCCGUGCCAGCAGCCGCGGUAAUAC